rnacentral:misc_RNA from 1 species
AAAACCCAGAGCAAAAGCAAAAAGGCGAAGGAAAAUGGAGAAGGCAAUCAACAGGCAAAAGGUUUUGCUGCACCAUCUCCGGCCAUCUUCUUCCCUUCCCACUCAUGAUUCUCCCUUAUCGGCAUCGGCAUGUUUAGCUGGGGAUAGUGCUGCAUAUCAGAGGACUUCAGUUUUUGGAGAUGACGUUGUGAUUGUUGCAGCAUAUCGAACUGCACUUUGCAAAUCAAAACGUGGUGGCUUCAAAGACACUCACCCUGAUGAUCUUCUUGCGCCUGUUUUGAAGGCAUUGAUUGAGAAAACCAAUAUCAACCCAAGUGAAGUUGGGGACAUAGUUGUCGGUAGUGUUCUGGCACCAGGGUCCCAAAGAGCGAGUGAAUGCAGGAUG